UACGUAGGGUGCAAGCGUUAAUCGGAAUUACUGGGCGUAAAGCGUGCGCAGGCGGUUGUGCAAGACAGAUGUGAAAUCUCCGGGCUUAACUCGGAAAGGUCAACUGAUACUGUGCGACUAGAGUGCGGAAGGGGCAACUGGAAUUCUCGGUGUAGCGGUGAAAUGCGUAGAUAUCGAGAGGAACACCUGCGGCGAAGGCGGGUGCUGGGCCGACACUGACGCUGAGUGCG
rnacentral:rRNA from 1 species